UAGAAUUUAUAUUUACUUUAUUAGCAAUGUGGCGUCCAUGUUUUCAAGUAAAAAGGGUUUUUUCCAUUUAGAAUAAAAAUUAAAAUAUAACUCUGAUAUAUAUUUUCCUUUAUGUACAUGGAAACAUAUAUACAGAAUACAAUUUUACAGCAAACUGAGAGAGCAUGCCCUUUGCCCCUUUAAACUUUAAACCUAAAGACACGGAUUUGUUUUUUGUUUUUCUUUUAUGCGCCAAUGCACAAGGUAUGAACCAAAUUUCAAUACAAACUUUUCAAAAUGGAACAUGAGGGGUAAAGGGCUCCUGCCAUCACUGACUAGGGUUCUCUCUGCUCACGGGGAUGAUGUUAGCUUGCAUUCUGAAUGACAGGUCAGAUGUUCACUUUUUCUUUAAUUGAAAUUAAAAAAAAAAACCCUUCUCACAGUUUUCAUAAUAAAACGACUUUUUUAAAGCAAAAGAUUGUUCUAGAACUUUUUUUCUCGAGGGCUUCUCUUUGUCCCACCCAAAGCACUGCACUGCCUGGGUUCCGUGAUAUGGCCUACAUCUCCCUGGUACUGAGUCUUAGUCAUCAGAAGAAACCUGAACAAGGAUGUGUACAGUUCAGAAAACCGAAGCGUUAUUCACUGUUUCAACCACAAAAAGCCCAAGGAGAGGGGGCAGGAGAGCAGCCAUGAACUUCCAGCAAAUUAAAUGGGUCACAA
rnacentral:lncRNA from 1 species